rnacentral:ncRNA from 2 species
UAGAAGCAUGGAUCGGACGGUGCCCCGGGAAUGGGGUGAAAAGGGAAUGCGGUGAGGGGGCGACCCUGAAACCGCGGCUGCCCCCGCAACUGUGAGCGGAGACGGGACUGCCAUCGGCCACUGGAGCGAUCCGGGAAGGCGGCAGGACCAGCGACCCGCGAGCCAGGAGACCUGCCGUCCAGAGGGGACUAUC